rnacentral:tRNA from 1 species
GCGGGUAUAGUUAAGUGGUAUAACGUGACCUUCCCAAGGUCGAGUGGCGGGUUCGAUUCCCGCUACCCGCUCCA